AUGAUCUCAAGUCAGACAAGAGUACUCGGUGAAUUUAAGCAUA
rnacentral:rRNA from 1 species